rnacentral:rRNA from 1 species
AUUGAACGCUGGCGGCAGGCCUAACACAUGCAAGUCGAACGAGUGGCAGACGGGUGAGUCAUGUCUAGGAACCUGCCUGAUGGCGGGGGAUAAUUACUGGAAACGGUAGCUAAUACCGAUAACCUUCAGAUGUGCCCAGUUGUGAUUAGCUAGUUGGUGGGUUAACGGCUAACCAAGUCGACGAUCCAUAGCUGGUCUGCGAGGAUGACCAGCCACACUGGAACUGAGACACGGUCCAGACUCCUACGGGAGGCAGCAGUGGGGAAUAUUGCACAAUGGGCGCAAGCCUGAUGCAGCCAUGCCGCGUGUAUGAAGAAGGCCUUCGGGUUGUAAAGUACUUUCAGCGGGGAGGCGUUACCCGCAGAAGAAGCACCGGCUAACUCCGUGCCAGCAGCCGCGGUAAUAC